CAUUCUUUAGACCUGGGGACCCGGGGUCCCUGGCCUGUGGCACAAAGCCCUGGGGAGCAGGGAUGGUGGGGAGGCCUGCGAGGCAGUGCCAGGUGCUCCAGUGUCAACUUGGUUCACUGGUUCAUCCCAGGCGGAGGCUUCUCACAGCCUGCCACUUUUCUUCCUGGCGCAGGCCGCAACAACAGGCUGUGUGUGUGACCCCCCCCCACCCCGCAGCCCCCCAGGGGAGGAUUGAGAAUGUGCGGGGCGUCCUCUGAGCCCGGCAUGGACUUGAUGGAGUAAGAACCCAGCAGAUACCGACGGAAGAUACAGAGAGAAGCUGUGAAAGGAGGACACACCUGUCGCUUAGACCGUAACCCGGACCUUCCCAGAUACGAGCCUCGUGGUGCACCUGCGUCUUCCUCCCACCCCCUCACUGCUGUUCCCCGGAGAGUUGAGACCCUGCCUUCCCUGUGCAUGGGACCGUCCCCUGGGUCGGGGGACAGGACGUUCACAGUGGUGGACGGGAACACGUUCAUGCCUGUGCAGCCCCUUUAUCUGCCCUGCACACCGCACUCAGCUGGCACCAGCUGUCCCGGCCUCAUCCUUUGGGGCAAACACAAGCAGGUCGUGUGCCCCAGGAGGCUCAGAGGCUGUGGGUGCCCUCAAUCCCCCCGCCCCCGGCCCCAGCCCACUUUGAUUCCGCUCCUUUGCUGGUCUUUGUCCUCAUGACCCUGGCGGUGUUGAAGAGCUCAGGUGGGGCAAGCCCCGAUGGGUUUUCUUUCUGAUGUGUCAGCAGGUUUGUGUCCUGGUCCCUCCAGCAGGCAUGGCCGUCUGUCCAGGGCAGUGUCAGGGGGAUCCUGCAGCCUGAAAAUGCUUUCCCCUCCGGGCCUGAGUAAAAGGAAAGUGAUUCAAAGAUCAUCUAUGUCUACAGACAGAUGGGGACUCCUGGCUCUGGGUGCCCCCUGGGACCCUGUGAAGCUUGGAGGUGAGAAAUUGUACCAGGAUGGAGACAGAGAUGGAGACGGGAGGGAAGCUCCUCCAGGACAAGGAGGCUGAACUUCAGAAGGACUCACAGGAGCCAGAACUCUCAAGCCAGGUGGCUGAUGUGGGAUCGUGCCAACCUGGAACCCUGUGGCCACGUGGAGAAGGCUCAUUUGCAGAGGGAGGGACAGAGAAGGAGGGAGACAGAAAUGCCCCAUAGCCUCUGCUUGGUCUCUGGACCCCAGCUCCCCGCUGCUGGAAACUUCCUUCCUGGGGUAAGCUGCUUUGCCUUGUCUCCACCUCUUGUAAUGGAAAGUUCUGGCCAAUAGACCUUUCCAGCAGAUCCGUACUUCCUGAGGAUCUUGACGUUCACCAAGUCCUUACAUGGGUGAGCUCAGACAUUUGUAAGACGUGAGUGUUUAGAUAGCGAACCAAUUUCAGGUUGUUCGAGACAGGAAGCCGUGGGACAACUAUCGGUCGAUGAGUCCCGGAUGUGACCGCUUCUGUGAAGCGUGCCACAUAGCCGGAUGGUUUCACCAUAACGUGUGAGUCCUUGCUGGGGGCAAGCCAGUGCUGGGGCCGUACUGAGGCUGCGCUGUUGCAGUGCAGGGAGCACCUGCCAUCCGCCUCUCCAUGGGCUUGGGCCUCUCCCAGCUGUGGCCGGGUCCAGAGAGGGAGCUUCCAGGAGGAGCUGGCGUUCCAGGAGCAUCUGGUGAGGGCUGCCCGGGUUUCGGCUGAGGGAGGAAGCGGCCAGAGCCCACCCCGCUCUGGGGAGAUGGACAGAGACCCCACCACCCCAAGGAAAGAGGGUCCCAGACUUCAGGGUCAUGUUUUAUUGCUGCCACACGUGAGCUCCUAAGACCUCUUCAAGCCAGGAAUGUAGCUUCGUGCAAAAAUUCCUAAGGAAGAACACACUUCUGUCCUUUGUGUCGGGGGACAGUGGGGACCAGCUCUGCAGUGCUAGGAGUGCAUGGUGACCUCUGGAGUGCACCAGGAAACCUGGAGCUCUCCAGAUCUUUACACCGCCCAGCCUUCAAGCUGGCUCCCUGCUGCCACUGAGAGAGAGUGCCGUCCAACUGUGAAAGCACUAAAAAAAAAAAAAAAAAAAAAAAAAA
rnacentral:lncRNA from 1 species